rnacentral:misc_RNA from 1 species
GAAUCCCAUGCUGACUUCUCUCAUGCAGUACCUAUGUGGAAAAACAAAGACUUCUUUAUGAAGCCCUCUUUUAAGCUUAAUGAAGAUAUUAACCCCACAAAGGCAACUUAUUUAGGAAUGACUCCAACAGACCUCCUACUAGCUCAAUAGGAAUGCCAACAGCUACUUCAACGAGGUCUUAUUGAGCCCACCAGUUCAGGAU